CCUACGGGAGGCAGCAGUGAGGAAUAUUGGUCAAUGGACGAGAGUCUGAACCAGCAAAGCAGCGUGAAGGAUGACUGUCCUAUGGGUUGUAAACUUCUUUUAUAUGGGAAUAAAAUGUUCCACGUGUGGGAUUAUGUAUGUACCAUAUGAAUAAGCCUCGGCUAACUCCGUGCCAGCAGCCGCGGUAAUACGGAGGAUUCGAGCGUUAUCCGGAUUUAUUGGGUUUAAAGGGAGCGUAGGUGGAUUGUUAAGUGAGUUGUGAAAGUUGGCGGCUCAACCGUAAAAUUGCAGUUGAAACUGGCAGUCUUGAGUACAGGAGAGGUGGGCGGAAUGCGUGGUGUAGCGGUGAAAUGCUUAGAUAUCACGAAGAACUCCGAUUGCGAAGGCAGCUCGCUGGACUGCAACUGACGUUGAGGCCCGAAAGCGUGGGGAGCAAACAGGAUUAGAUACCCCUGUAGUC
rnacentral:rRNA from 1 species